rnacentral:rRNA from 1 species
UCCGCCUUCUCCUUUCCAGAUCCUGUUCUGGGUGGUGUAUUCAGCGGCGGGCCCCGGGGCGCGAGCCCCCCUGCGACGUGAGGCGGGCCCGCCGAAGCAACAGGGUACGUAUACACGGGUGGGAGGUUGGGCUUCAGAGAAACCCUCACUCGUCAGUUGGCUGAACCUGCGGAAGGAUCAUUACCGAGUGAGGGUUUCUCUGAAGCCCAACCUCCCACCCGUGUAUACCGUACCCUGUUGCUUCGGCGGGCCCGCCUCACGGCCGCCGGGGGGCCUCGCGCCCCCGGGCCCGCGCCCGCCGAAGACCCCAACACGAACACUGUCUGAAAAGUGCAGUCUGAGUCGAUUGUUACCAAUCAGUCAAAACUUUCAACAAUGGAUCUCUUGGUUCCGGCAUCGAUGAAGAACGCAGCGAAAUGCGAUAACUAAUGUGAAUUGCAGAAUUCAGUGAAUCAUCGAGUCUUUGAACGCACAUUGCGCCCCCUGGUAUUCCGGGGGGCAUGCCUGUCCGAGCGUCAUUGCUGCCCUCAAGCACGGCUUGUGUGUUGGGCCCCGUCCCCGGUACCCCCGGGGACGGGCCCGAAAGGCAGCGGCGGCACCGCGUCCGGUCCUCGAGCGUAUGGGGCUUUGUCACCCGCUCUGCAGGCCCGGCCGGCGCCAGCCGACCAACCCAACCAUUUUCUACAGGUUGACCUC